rnacentral:rRNA from 1 species
UACGAGAGGCCCAAACGUUAUUCGGAAUUACUGGGCUUAAAGAGUUCGUAGGCGGCAUGAAAAGUAGGGUGUGAAAGCCCUCGGCUUAACCGAGGAAUUGCGCUCUAAACUGUCGUGCUUGAGGAACCUAGAGGUGAGCAGAACAGAUGGUGGAGCGGUGAAAUGCGUUGAUAUCAGGAGGAACACCAAUAGCGAAGGCAGCUCGCUGGGACGUUACUGACACUGAGGCGCGAAAGCGUGGGGAGCGAACAGG